CCAGGUAAAGUUACUAACUUCAGUAACCCCAGGUAAAGUUACUAACUUCAAUAACCCCAGGUAAAGUUAGUAACUUCAAUAACCCCAGGUAAAGUUACUAACUUCAAUAACCCCAGGUAAAGUUACUAACUUCAAUAACCCCAGGUAAAGUUACUAACUUCAAUAACCCCAGGUAAAGUUACUAACUUCAAUAACCCCAGGUAAAGUUACUAACUUCAAUAACCCCAGGUAAAGUUACUAACUUCAAUAACCCCAGGUAAAGUUACUAACUUCAAUAACCCCAGGUAAAG